rnacentral:rRNA from 1 species
UACGGGGGGGGCGAGCGUUGUUCGGAAUCACUGGGCGUCAAGGGCGCGUAGGCGGCCCGCACAAGUCUGCGGUGAAAACCCCCGGCUUAACCGGGGGCCGGCCGUGGAAACUGUCGGGCUGGAGGCUGGGAGAGGGCAGCGGAAUUCCCGGUGUAGCGGUGAAAUGCGUAGAGAUCGGGAGGAACACCUGCGGCGAAGGCGGGUUGCUGGGCUGACACUGACGCUGAUGCGCGAAAGCCAGGGGAGCGAACGGG